rnacentral:rRNA from 1 species
AUGUGUACUAACGUUUGAACCAAUUCAUCAUAAUUCUCUUUUUAUGAUUACUAUUAAAUUCAACUUACUAAAAAUUUUUAAGUUUUUACCCGCAAUUUUUUUGAUUUGUUAAAAUUAAUGUAUUGCAUAAACUCCUUGAUAUUAGGACCAUAAUACCUGACUUAAUUUUUUGUAAAGUUAAGUUUGUUAAUUUUACACACAAACUGAAGACGGCCAUGCAGUACCUGCAAAUCUAAUCAAGGUAAGGUAAUUCGCGGAUUAUCGAUUUAAGUUACACAAUCCUCUAAUAGGAAAACGAACAGCCAGAUUUUUUGAAUUUCAAUCAGUUGAUUAUACUACUCAGGCGGAUCAAUCUUUAAAAAAGAUAUUCUUUAUUUAAGCAGUAGGCUACUAGGGUAUCUAUCCCCGUUUUAA